UACAGAGGGUGCAAGCGUUGUUCGGAAUUACUGGGCGUAAAGGGCUCGUAGGCGGCCAACUAAGUCGGAUGUGAAAUCCCCAGGCUUAACCUGGGAACUGCAUCCGAUACUGGAUGGCUUGAAUCCGGGAGAGGGAUGCGGAAUUCCAGGUGUAGCGGUGAAAUGCGUAGAUAUCUGGAGGAACACCGGUGGCGAAGGCGGCAUCCUGGACCGGCAUUGACGCUGAGGAGCGAAAGCCAGGGGAGCAAACGGG
rnacentral:rRNA from 1 species